UGAUGUGUUUUGGCAUGGCUUUGAAUGCAAUACUUCUGUUUGUAUAUUUGGUGCUUCAUUUGAACCAAUAUGGAUUGUUUUGUGCAUGAAUUGAACUUGAUGGAUGAUAUAAACAUGAGACCAAGGAUGUUUGCUCUUGUUUGAUGUUAAUUUGAUGUUGGAUGGUGGAUACCUUGCUGUUUUAACUUUUUUCUUGCUUUGGGACCCUAGGCUUGGCCUAGUGGUCUAGUUGCUAAUGUUUGCUUGAUUUUUCAGGAUCAAAAGCAUAAUGCACAUGGAGAAUGAUCCAAAUCAAUUUUAAUUGAUGUUGUUGAUGUUUGUACACUAACAUAACAUUGUUUUGUAGGUGUUGAAGCUUGGGCUUAAGCCUUGAGCUUGCUUUGUGUUGUAUUGUUUAAACUGUUUGAUUGUUUGCUGUACAAUUUGUCUGAUUGAAUACUGACUGAGUUUGAUUGUUUCCAGGUACUUUAGUUGCUCAGUUCCUUGUGAACUAUUGCUUUGCUUUGCUUUGCAUAAGCAAUUUGCAUUGAGGUAACUUCUUAAAACUUCAUGUAGUCUGGAGACCCGGCUGUUACCGGGCCGGGCAAAUUGUCUGAAGUCCUCCUUAAGAGGCAAUGCUUGUGUAUGUUUAUUUUUAAGCCAAGCAGGAAAAGCCCUUCAAGUAAGGCAAUUGGUGGAAGGUAGGGACAAGCAAC
rnacentral:lncRNA from 1 species